UGGGGAAUAUUGGACAAUGGGCGCAAGCCUGAUCCAGCCAUGCCGCGUGAGUGAUGAAGGCCCUAGGGUUGUAAAGCUCUUUCACCGGUGAAGAUAAUGACGGUAACCGGAGAAGAAGCCCCGGCUAACUUCGUGCCAGCAGCCGCGGUAAUACGAAGGGGGCUAGCGUUGUUCGGAUUUACUGGGCGUAAAGCGCACGUAGGCGGACUUUUAAGUCAGGGGUGAAAUCCCGGGGCUCAACCCCGGAACUGCCUUUGAUACUGGAAGUCUUGAGUAUGGUAGAGGUGAGUGGAAUUCCGAGUGUAGAGGUGAAAUUCGUAGAUAUUCGGAGGAAAACCAGGGGCGAAGGCGGCUCACUGGACCAUUACUGACGCUGAGGUGCGAAAGCGGGGGGAGCAAACAGG
rnacentral:rRNA from 1 species